GGACCAUGGGCUGGUUGCAGAGAUGAUGGCUGAAUAGGGGAAGAAGAAGAUUUCCAUUUUAUUUAUUUAUUUAUUUAUUUUUUGUUAUGGGGCUUGGGCUGGUGAUUGAACCAUGGGCCUCUUUUUGUGUAAACAAAUAGCCCAUAGAGGAAAUCAAUGAAUGGUUGGUCCAUCAGCAAUGGUAUUUCCUCCAACCCAAACUCCUAAUACCCAACAUUUAAAUCGGCAGCAAAGACACAAAGAUCCAAAACGCAAACCCUUCCUUCCAUUUCCAUAUUUCCAUUCGAAGCAGAAGUAGCAGUCGUGACGCCUGUGAAGUGAGAAGUGCAACUAUGUGAGCGGUGGACCGUGUGCAAACUGGUGCGAUGUCAGGACAAAUCUCCGACGACCGAGGCUGAGCAAGCAGUGUGGGUCUCAAGUAAUUAAUUUUUUUCCUCACUCUUUUUUUUUUUUUAAGAUUUAUGGUUUUGCUUGAAUUUUACUUAUAAUUAAUUAUCAGAUUAAUUGAAUUAUAAUUUUUUUUUAUGAUUGAGUUUUUCAGAUUAUGAGUUUUAUUGGCGUGGAUGAUUGGAUUUGUGCAUUUCCUUUACCAGAUUAUGGGUUUUUGUUUAGUAAUUGAUAUGUGCUGAUGGAUUAUGGAUGGUUGGAUUAAAUCAGUAAUAUUUUUAUUUAGGAUCCCCCAAACUUCUAUUUCUCUAAAACUAGUCUUGUAGUGGAAAAUGAUUGCAGUUUUUGUUGCUCAUUAAAGGCUUUUAAGUGAUUAUUUGAGAUUGUUUUUUUUUUUUUUUUUUGUCUUGAUGUUGUUAGCUUUGUUCCUUAGGUUUAUCUUGCUGUAAAUUGCUUGUGUAGCUUAUCUUAAAUUCUUUUAAUUCGAAUUGCUCUAAGCUUGAUAAGUACUUUUGUUGCAUUAUGUCAUGGUAGAAAAUCAAACAAGUUUUUGAUUGCUUUGUAUCGUAUAUUUAUUUAGCAGUUUG
rnacentral:lncRNA from 1 species